CACAAUCACAACCACUCACACCCAUACCCACACAAUCACAACCACACACACCCACACACAAUCACAACCACACACACCCACACACAAUCACAACCACACUCACACCCACACACAAUCACAACCACUCACACCCACACAAUCACAACCACACUCACACCCACACCCACACAAUCACAACCACUCACACCCACACCCACACAAUCACAACCACACACCCACACAAUCACAACCACUCACACCCACACCCACACACAAUCACAACCACACUCACACCCACACCCACACAAUCACAACCACUCACACCCACACCCACACAAUCACAACCACACACCCACACACAAUCACAACCACACCCACACACAAUCACAACCACACUCACACCCACACCCACACACAAUCACCACUCACACCCACACCCACACAAUCACAACCACACUCACACCCAUACCCACAGACACCCACACCACAAUCACAACCACGCACCCACACUCACAGACACCCGCACCCAUAUGGGGUCUCACUCUGUUGCUCAGGCUAAGUGCAGUGGCACAAUCACGGCUCACUGCAGCCUCCGAGUAGCUGGGACAACAGGGUGAGCAGCACCACGUCUGGUUAAUUUUUUAUUUUUUGUAGAGCCAGAGUCUCACUAUGUUGCCCAGGCCUGUC
rnacentral:lncRNA from 10 species